rfam:Escherichia vulneris NBRC 102420 DNA, contig: EV10242025.
CGCAUGGUGUCCGGCGUUAGGGCUGGAAGAGCGAUGCGGCCUUAACUGAGGU